rnacentral:rRNA from 1 species
AGCGAACGCUGGCGGCGUGCUUAACACAUGCAAGUCGAACGCGCAGCAUUCUGUAGCAAUACAGGAUGUGGGCGCGUGGCGAACGGGUGCGUAACACGUGGAUAACCUUCCUUCAGGUGGGGAAUAACCCAGUGAAAACUGGGCUAAUACCGCAUAACAUGACGAUGGCACAUGCUGUUGUCUUCAAAGGCGCAAGUCGCCAGAAGAGGGAUCCGCGGCCGAUUAGCUUGUUGGCGAGGUAACGGCUCACCAAGGCAUUGAUCGGUAGCCGGACUGAGAGGUUGGCCGGCCACACUGGAACUGAGACACGGUCCAGACUCCUACGGGAGGCAGCAGUGGGGAAUCUUGCACAAUGGACGAAAGUCUGAUGCAGCAACGCCGCGUGGGGGAUGAAGCUUCUCGGAGUGUAAACCCCUUUCGACCCGGAAGAAUGCCCGCAAGGGUUUGACGGUACGGGUAUAAGAAGCCCCGGCUAACUACGUGCCAGCAGCCGCGGUAAUACGUAGGGGGCCAGCGUUGCUCGGAAUUACUGGGCGUAAAGGGUCUGUAGGCGGUGCGGCAAGUCGAUAGUGAAAUCCCUAGGCUUAACCUAGGGGCUGCUAGCGAAACUGCCG